rnacentral:lncRNA from 1 species
UAAGCCCUGCUCAGAAGUCAAGAGCAGCAGCGCUGCCGCCUCCGAGCGGCCUUUCAAGACGCACUCGCUCCUUAUUCUUGUGUCUCGGCCUCUCUGGUCGCCCCGGGACAAAGCCCCCAGAGCCCGGCCGCUCCCUUCCCGCUAAAUCCCCUUCGGGGUCAAUGCUCUACCAGCACCGGGCCGCGCGCUUCUCCUGCCAGCCGUGUGGCUCUUAAAGAGCGCACCCCCCCCCACCUCCGCCCUGCGCGCUCCCCCCGACCCCCGCCUCCCCGCCCCUCUCCUCAGGAUCUAGCCCCCCACGCCGACGCCUUAGGUCCCUCCUGCCCCGAC